GAUGCUUCUAGAACAAGGCUGCUUUUCCCACCCAAGGCUCGCUCUCCAGGCUCUUGGACACUUUGCUGGAUUGCAAUCAUUGCAUCAGGUAGAACAGACAGCCUGAAGUCAAAUCCAAAGUUUCAUCAGAUCCUGUGGAGGAUCACAGAUUGGCAAAAUGCUGCCCAGGUGAAUCAGAGGUAGACCCCAGGAAGGAAGAAAGGGUGGGAGAGAAACUGCCCUGGGGUCGAAGAGCUCCCUAACAGAACUUCGAAGCCGUGGAAACCACACGUAUUGGGCCCGAUCACGAAGGAACAGGUAGUAGUGAGCUGAACACUCACUGAAACAUUUUCUCGAGCUUGAAAUCAAUUGGUAGUGAUUUAUUUUUUAAUGAACUCACAAGAAAGA